rnacentral:piRNA from 1 species
UGAUGAGCGCACAAUUUUCAU